rnacentral:rRNA from 1 species
GAUGAACGCUGGCGGCGUGCCUAAUACAUGCAAGUCGAGCGAACAGACGAGGAGCUUGCUCCUCUGACGUUAGCGGCGGACGGGUGAGUAACACGUGGAUAACCUACCUAUAAGACUGGGAUAACUUCGGGAAACCGGAGCUAAUACCGGAUAAUAUAUUGAACCGCAUGGUUCAAUAGUGAAAGACGGUUUUGCUGUCACUUAUAGAUGGAUCCGCGCCGCAUUAGCUAGUUGGUAAGGUAACGGCUUACCAAGGCAACGAUGCGUAGCCGACCUGAGAGGGUGAUCGGCCACACUGGAACUGAGACACGGUCCAGACUCCUACGGGAGGCAGCAGUAGGGAAUCCUCCGCAAUGGGCGAAAGCUUGACGGAGCAACGCCGCGUGAGUGAUGAAGGUCUUCGGAUCGUAAAACUCUGUUAUUAGGGAAGAACAAAUGUGUAAGUAACUAUGCACGUCUUGACAGUACCUAAUCAGAAAGCCACGGCUAACUACGUG